rnacentral:tRNA from 1 species
AAUUAAUGAGCUUGUUAAGCAUAUGUUUUGAAAGCAUAUAAAAAGGGUAAUAACCCCUUAUUAAUUU